rnacentral:tRNA from 2 species
GGAGAGAUGGCAGAGUGGUUGAAUGCGUCGGUCUCGAAAGCCGAAGAGGGUUCACGCCCUCCCAGGGUUCGAAUCCCUGUCUCUCCGCCA